AUUCUUACUUAUUCUCUCUCCUACCCUUCAAUUCUCUCUCUCCUUCUUCUUCUUCUUCCUUCUCCCUCCUACCUUCUAACGCACGCUUUCAAAGCUUUCCAUAAAGCUUUUCCCCCCAUAAUCAUCUAUAUAUAACGCAGACAAUUCCAGUUUCACGCACCUCACGCCUAGUAAAAAAAAUUAAAGAAAAAAAAGAAAAGAAAAAACAAAUUCCAUAUUAUUUUCUUUUCUUUAAUUUUAAUUUUUUUCUCUUCCAAAUUCUCACGACGAUCUUACAGUUAUAUAUAAUCCCCAUCCAUCUCCAUGUCCACCGACCUUCAUCUUCACCACAACCUCCCUAAGCUCCGAAUCUCUCCGAUCAAGAUGGAGAACACAUCAAGAAUCCACUCUUCAAACCAAAACGACGCCGUCGCCGUCGCCGAAGAACGACCUGAGGCGGUUACAGACCGCAACGACGGUGGCGCCGUUGUUUUGAGCGUUGUUGAGGUGGAGCAGGAGGAGGAGGAGGAAGAGAGCUACAGGACGCCGACGUCGAAGGAGAGCAAGAUUCCGGAGAUGAGUUCCAGUUCUUUGAUGUGAACAAUAAGGAAGACAUGGACGCUUUCUUCAGAUCUACUUUUCCUAAGAGGACAUGCUCCUGUACAUGAUCAUCAUCAUCUUCUUCUUCUCUCUCAUUAUCUGAAAAAAGAAAAAACGGUUAUUAUAUUUCCACGUUUUAAUUUGGCUUCCUCCAAGCUGAUGGAAUGUGAAGCUACGUAAAUUACACAAUUUUUAAUUAGUUUCUUCUUUAAUUUCUUCUUCCUUCUCCUUCUUAUAAAAUUCCGAUUCCGAUCCAUCACUUGUUGGAUUAACUCUACUCUUUUUUCUUCUUUUCUUUUUUUUUCUUUUUUUUUUAAUUAUAUUGUUUUUAUGUUACAUAUAUUUCACUUGUAUAAGAUGUGAAAUAUUGGAUCGUCCUGAAUUAAUCGUGUCUGUUCAUUAAUUAUAAAAUUCAGAAUCGACAUAUAUAAUCCUUGAAUUCUCUAAAAUUGUGAA